CCUACGGGUGGCAGCAGUGAGGAAUAUUGGUCAAUGGGCGGGAGCCUGAACCAGCCAAGUCGCGUGAGGGAUGACGGAUCUAUGGUUUGUAAACUUCUUUUAUCUGGGAAUAAAGUGAGGAACGUGUUCCGUUUUGUAUGUACCAUGUGAAUAAGCAUCGGCUAACUCCGUGCCAGCAGCCGCGGUAAUACGGAGGAUGCGAGCGUUAUCCGGAUUUAUUGGGUUUAAAGGGUGCGUAGGUGGUUAAUUAAGUCAGCGGUGAAAGUUUGGGGCUCAACCAUAUAAUUGCCGUUGAAACUGGUUGACUUGAGUAUAUUUGAGGUAGGCGGAAUGCGUGGUGUAGCGGUGAAAUGCAUAGAUAUCACGCAGAACUCCGAUUGCGAAGGCAGCGUACCGAACCACAACUGACACUGAAGCACGAAGGCGUGGGGAUCAAACAGGAUUAGAUACCCGUGUAGUC
rnacentral:rRNA from 1 species